rnacentral:rRNA from 1 species
AGUGGCGAACGGGUGAGUAACACGUGGGCAACCUGCCCAAAAGAGGGGGAUAACACUUGGAAACAGGUGCUAAUACCGCAUAACCAUAGUUACCGCAUGGUAACUAUGUAAAAGGUGGCUAUGCUACCGCUUUUGGAUGGGCCCGCGCGCAUUAGCUAGUUGGUGGGGUAAAGGCUUACCAAGGCAAUGAUGCGUAGCCGAACUGAGAGGUUGAUCGGCCACAUUGGGACUGAGACACGGCCCAAACUCCUACGGAAGGCAGCAG